rnacentral:rRNA from 1 species
CCUACGGGAGUCAGCAGUGAGGAAUAUUGGGCAAUGGGCGAGAGCCUGAACCAGCCAAGUCGCGGGAAGGAUGACGGCCCGACGGGGGGUAAACUUCUUUUGUCAGGGAGCAAGUGGGUCCACGCGUGGGCUUAGCGAGAGCACCUGAAGAAAAAGCAUCGGCUAACUCCGUGCCAGCAGCCGCGGUAAUACGGAGGAUGCGAGCGUUAGCCGGAUUGAUUGGGUUUAAAGGGUGCGUAGGCGGAAUAUCAAGUCAGCGGUAAACAUUCGGGGCUCAACCCCGUCGUGCCGUUGAAACUGCUGUUCUUGAGUGGGCGAGAAGUCUGCGGAAUGCGUGGUGUAGCGGUGAAAUGCAUAGAUAUCACGAAGAACCCCGAUUGCGAAGGCAGCUUACUAAACUGUGACUGACAUUGAUGCUCGAAAGUGUGGGUAUCAAACAGGAUUAGAUACCCGGGUAGUC